GACGAACGCUGGCGGCGUGCCUAAUACAUGCAAGUCGAACGCAGUGGGGACGGGUGAUUAACACGUGGGUAACCUCCCAUCACACGGGAAAACACUUGGAAAAAGGUGCCAAACCGAUACUGAUGGAUGGACCCGGGGUGGAUUAGCUAGAUGGUGGGGUAAAGGCUCACCAAGGCCACGAUGCAUAGCGGGGUUGAGAGGGUGAGCGGCCACACUGGGACUGAGACACGGCCCAGACUCCUACGGGAGGCAGCAGUGGGGAAUCUUGGACAAUGGGCGAAAGUCUGACCGAGCCACCCCGCGUGGGUGAAGAAGGUUUUCGGGUCGUAAAGCUCGGUUGGUAGAGAAGCGGUAUCUGAAGAAAAAGCCCCGGCUAACUACGUGCCAGCAGCCGCGGUAAUAC
rnacentral:rRNA from 1 species